GAGAAUGUUUCAAAGUGUUCCAUGGUACUCUGAUGAAGACCGUUGGUGUGUUCCACUGGCUGAGAGGAAGAACCCACACAUCUUCCUCUUGGCCUUUCUCCUCUGAGAAUCCUGGCGCCAUCUUGAAGGAUAUUCCAGCUCAUGUAACUGAUGUCACGACAGAUUCACAAACACUUGGUUUCUCCUGAGGGGCUUUUCUAUAGAACUGAAGACUUCAGACGGCACUGUAUCCCAGCAUGCAUCUCUGCUCACUCAGACCACACCCCCAUGAGUAGGAUGCAACACUCUAGUGAUGGAGAUGUAGUGUUUUUUAAAGUAACGAGGGAGCAGACUAAGGGGAUUAGAACGCAAUGGAAUGUCUAGUCUGUAAAUCUUUAAACCAUGAAGAUGGUUGGAAAAGUCAGGAAUUGGGCUUAUUUUUAAUAUGGGCAGUCCUUUCACUCGGAUGCUCACUUCUCAAUGGAAAUGUACAUGCGUUGGCUGGCUGGCAUGAUUUGCUGUUGGUGAUGAUGCGGUCAGGGUGACGUUGCAGGGCUAUGGUCGGCUCUCUGUGAGCUCAACGUUUAGAUUUUCUCUGUAUGGUUUGUACCCUGAAUAAUCUAGAUAAUUGUAAAAUGUAGACACUGCAUUGAAUGAUUUUAGGUUUAAAGUUGUUGUACAUGGUAGUUUGGUUCUUCGUAUGGUUUUGAGUGAUUAUAACUUGUACACACUGGGUGCAUAAUAAUGUAAAGUUACACUGAAUAGUAUUAAUGACCAACAGCAACAAACAGAUCUCCUCAAGGUAAGUCUGUUGGCUGUAUUUUAAUGAAGACCAUCGCUGGACUUCAGGAUCUUCCCCCGUUCAGCUCAAGGUGAGGCGCUGGUUAUUUUUCUUUGGUUGGUUCCGGCUGGAAUGUUCGGAUUCCAGUCGGACGGUUUGUGCUUCCCGCCGUGGAAGAUUCUGAGUGAGGUCACUUGAUUUAGUCCCAAUGGUUGGCAUAGAAAGUUGUAGUCUUGACAACCAUAAGAACACUGACACGAAUUUCGUACAAUAUGUUAAUUUUCGAUGGUUGCGCCGUACUUUUAACCACGUUGACGGGACUCUCACUGCGUACAAAACGGCGUUCUACUUGCGGCCCAAUUUUUGACAUCGGUGAAGGCUGAAAAUCAUUUCAAGGUGGAAGACAAUUUGACAUUUCUUCAAAGGAACCCAGCACCUGAAUAUGAGUUGAGUAAAUUUGAUUUAAUAUUGAUACUGCUUAGUGUUCAUUGUUACUUCACUGUUACUUGCUGAUAUAAACCUCCUGCUGUAGCUCAAAGGUGAGGCUGAGAGGCUUGGGACCGGAGGCUUGUGGUGCCAGGAUGGACCGGAGACUGAGGCUGGAGACCAGGGGCCUGCAGCACCGGACCAGAGGACCAGGAAUCCAUGGCUGAAGGAGCUGACGGAGGAGCCGCGCUGAAGGCCCUGCCUGGAGGAGGAGCCGUGCUGAAGGCCCUGCCUGGUGGAGGAGCUGACGGAGGCCCUGCCUGGUGGAGGAUGUCUGUCGUGGGGACUCUGGUUUGGAGGAGAGCUGAUGGAGGAGCUGAUGGAGGAGCUGAGUCGCUGGAGGACGACUUGGAAUCGACCAACAAGGAUUCCUCAACCUGUUUCUGGAGCGGAGGCGAGCUGAUAGGGGAGCCGUGAAUCUGGAGGAUGACGUCACUCUACCAACAAGGAUUACCAGGACUCUGGCUGAGGAGAGCUGAUGGAGGAGCCAUAAAACCAGGAAUCUGGAGGACUGACAGAGAAGCCGUACAUCUGGAAGGCAAAUCCUGAGGACGACCAGGACUCUACCAUCAAGGAUUCCUCUAAGUUUGCAUUAUCUGGAU